rnacentral:misc_RNA from 1 species
AAAUUGAGUCAAGAUACAAAAGAGAAAACGAGGCCCAAACUAAAGGCUACAGCAAGCACACCCAACCAUCAAAGACUCAACCAGACUCAAACAAAUAAAACCAACCCACCCUCAACCAAAUGAAACCAACCCACCACAAUAACUUUGUCCACCAUAGAUAACCUAGGAAAAUAAAGAAUAAGUCACCCUUGUAGAUGUCGCUACUACCACUUAUUCUCACCAUAGCCAAAGAAGCUAAACUGAGAAUGAAGCUGAACUGAGAAUGAACCUAGCUAUCCUUGCCAGUAGUCCAAGGAGCACCAAAUUGCCUAUCACAUAUCAAUGCCCAAGCUCAAACCUUCCAUUUCUAACCAAUCAUGCUGCAUACCUUUAACCAUCGAAGAAAGGUUGCUACUGGAGAGCUCACUAACCUUUAAAGGCCAACAGGAUGACCUCCCCAGCUGUAGUGUAGGAGCAGAUCCUAGAGAUACCGAAUAGCCUAAGCAAGUAGAAGCCUUCUUUCAAUGCAGAGCACCCAUCUUGACCCAAAACUAGACAUUAAAAGGCUUCAUAAGUACAUGCAACAACUACCCAUACCCAUGAAGCCGAAACUAAGAAAACUAGGAAGCACAACAACACAAACCCAUAAAAGCUAGCUUCCUCUUUGCAGAUCAUCAUAGAACCCUCGCCAAGACAAGAUCCAAAUAUGGAUCAAACCUUCAAAAACAAAACUCUAGACAAUACUCUAUGUUGACUAAAAUUGUUGCCACUACUAUAGCUCUUAGCGAGUUGGUCCUUCUUGCCACCCCAACCAUCAGCAUAGAGGGAAUUGUUGGUUUGAUGAAUGACAAAUUCCUCCUCCUUAAGGCUUUACAAGGCAAUGACCAAUUAGAAGCGGGUGUUGGGUCAUUUGGCG